rnacentral:miRNA from 1 species
AUGGAGCUGUAAUCAUCA